GAUGAACGCUGGCGGCGUGCCUAAUACAUGCAAGUCGAGCGAACAGACGAGGAGCUUGCUCCUCUGACGUUAGCGGCGGACGGGUGAGUAACACGUGGAUAACCUACCUAUAAGACUGGGAUAACUUCGGGAAACCGGAGCUAAUACCGGAUAAUAUAUUGAACCGCAUGGUUCAAUAGUGAAAGACGGUUUUGCUGUCACUUAUAGAUUGAUCCGCGCCGCAUUAGCUAGUUGGUAAGGUAACGGCUUACCAAGGCAACGAUGCGUAGCCGACCUGAGAGGGUGAUUGGCCACACUGGAACUGAGAAACGGUCCAGACUCCUACGGGAGGCAGCAGUAGGGAAUCUUACGCAAUGGGCGAAAGCUUGACGGAGCAACGCCGCGUGAGUGAUGAAGGUCUUCGGAUCGUAAAACUCUGUUAUUAGGGAAGAACAAAUGUGUAAGUAACUAUGCACGUAUUGACGGUACCUAAUCAGAAAGCCACGGCUAACUACGUG
rnacentral:rRNA from 1 species